CCUACGGGUGACAGCAGUGGGGAAUAUUGCACAAUGGGGGAAACCCUGAUGCAGCGACGCCGCGUGAGUGAGGAAGUAUUUCUGUAUGUAAAGCUCUAUCAGCAGGGAAGAAAAUGACGGUACCUGACUAAGAAGCCCCGGCUAACUACGUGCCAGCAGCCGCGGUAAUACGUGGGGCGCAAGCGUUAUCCGGAUUUACUGGGUGUAAAGGGAGCGUAGCCGGUUAAUCAAGUCAGAAGUGAAAACCCAGGGCUCAACCUUGGGACUGCUUUUGAAACUGAGUAGCUAGAGUGCAGGAGAGGUAAGCGGAAUGCGUAGUGUAGCGGUGAAAUGCGUAGAUAUUACGAGGAACACCAGUGGCGAAGGCAGCUUACUGGACUGUAACUGACGUUGAGGCUCGAAAGCGUGGGUAGCGAACGGGAUUAGAUACCCGGGUAGUC
rnacentral:rRNA from 1 species